rnacentral:rRNA from 2 species
UAAAACCAGCACCUCAAGUGGUCAGGAUGAUUAUUGGGCCUAAAGCAUCCGUAGCCGGCUCUGUAAGUUUUCGGUUAAAUCCGUACGCUCAACGUACAGGCUGCCGGGAAUACUGCAUAGCUAGGGAAUGGGAGAGGUAGACGGUACUCGGUAGGAAGGGGUAAAAUCCUUUGAUCUAUCGAUGACCACCUGUGGCGAAGGCGGUCUACCAGAACAUGUCCGACGGUGAGGGAUGAAAGCUGGGGGAGCAAACCGGAUUAGAUACCCGGGUAGUCCCAGCUGUAAACUAUGCAAACUCAAUGAUGCAUUGGCUUGAUGCUAAUGCAGUGUUGCAGGGAAGCCGUUAAGUUUGCCGCCUGGGAAGUACGUACGCAAGUAUG